rnacentral:rRNA from 1 species
UACGGGGGGGGGCAAGCGUUGUUCGGAAUUACUGGGCGUAAAGGGCCAGUAGGCGGCCAACUAAGUCGGACGUGAAAUCCCCAGGCUCAACCUGGGAACUGCGUCCGAUACUGGAUGGCUUGAAUUCGGGAGAGGGAUGCAGAAUUCCAGGUGUAGCGGUGAAAUGCGUAGAUAUCUGGAGGAAUACCGGUGGCGAAGGCGGCAUCCUGGACCGACAUUGACGCUGAGGAGCGAAAGCUAGGGGAGCAAACGGG